CCUACGGGUGGCAGCAGUGGGGAAUAUUGCACAAUGGGGGAAACCCUGAUGCAGCGACGCCGCGUGAGCGAAGAAGUAUUUCGGUAUGUAAAGCUCUAUCAGCAGGGAAGAAAAUGACGGUACCUGAGUAAGAAGCUCCGGCUAAAUACGUGCCAGCAGCCGCGGUAAUACGUAUGGAGCAAGCGUUAUCCGGAUUUACUGGGUGUAAAGGGAGCGUAGGCGGUAUGUCAAGUCAAGGGUGAAAUCCCCGCGCGCAACGUGGGAACUGCCUUUGAAACUGGCAAACUGGAGUGUGUGAGAGGAUAGUGGAAUUCCAGGUGUAGGAGUGAAAUCCGUAGAUAUCUGGAGGAACAUCAGUGGCGAAGGCGACUAUCUGGCACAUAACUGACGCUGAGGAGCGAAAGCGUGGGUAGCAAACAGGAUUAGAUACCCGGGUAGUC
rnacentral:rRNA from 1 species